rnacentral:lncRNA from 12 species
AUGUACUACUCGAUGAAUGGGACAUGUGCACCUGUCCUUCUGCAUGCCGGUGACAUCCUGCCUCACCUGACCUCUUUGGAGUCAUCCUCAGUACUGCCGGUCCCUUUAGCACCUGCUGGACUCUUCUUUUCUUUUCUUUUUUUUUCCUUAGCUGACUUCUCUGCCCAGAUCUUGGGUUCCCUUCCUUUUCUUUCACCCUUUUCAUGCCUACAAACUUUGUGCAGCUUCCUGAUUUAUCUGUCAAUCCAUAAAGCAGGAUUUCUUACCCAGAACCCCUCUCCUUAAAUCCUGGAGCAAGCACGAUGCCUAAAUGGAGCUUGAGAUCCUGUCCUUUUGGUGACACACCCCCUGCUGAAGAGAACACAAUAACCUCUGCUUUUAACCACCACACUAGAGAGUCUGCACUUGGACAAAAUCAAUGCUACACAAUUCUUAAACUCAUUCCAAUUGGAACAGCCACCUCAAUAAUACCGGUUUAUUGAGACCUGGAGUAGGUCACAAACCCUAAUUCUCAUAUACUGUUUGAACCCUUAAGUAUCUACCUGCCUACCAAAUUGUUGUCUGCCCAACCUCCUGUCCUUUGAACCUAGUUCUUAAGGCUUGAGUUCUGCCUCAUUUUCCUUUUGUUAAAAUUGGACUACCUCCCUACCAGCUCCUACCAGGCUUCUCCUUGAGAGACUAGAGCUGCUUCUGUGUCAUCAACUGCUGCCUGAAUCCUGCUCUCCAAAGGCCACCCUCCUAAACACCAGGGCCCCAUUGCCUAGUUAAUGUCAAGCUGCCUGGAUUUACACUGCUACAUCAACCCCAUUAUGAAUACGUCUGGACAUAGUUCUUCAUGCCAUGGAUAUGGCUGAUCCCCCUUCCUCUGCAACCAUGUUGAGGACAUGCCCUAUUAGGCCAGACCUUAGCAGGGCAACAGGCUGCAGAGAUGGGCAGAGGGAACACUGCUUUCUUGCAAGAAGGAGAAUAGAAUGGUGAAAACUGAAGAGAGAUUUAAUUCCCAAAUAUCAAUAUCUGAGAGAUGUAGGAAGAGAAUGUGCUGUGGUAAUACCUAUUAUUAAUGGAUAUAAGUGCCCCUUUGUGCCUAGGAAACACUGGCUGCAUAGCUAAUGCACUGCUGAGUCCUCCUGACACCCUACUGUAAGCUUGAUUUCUAAACAAAUGGGCUAAAACUCAAUUAUCCCUAAUUCUGAAGCACAAGAGCUCUGGACCCACCUCAGCAUGAAGAAUAGAGCCAAAGGUGACAACCAAAAAGAAAAUUCCAGAUGCUCACAUUCAAAUAUGCAAUCUGAGAGUGUUAUAAGUGCAUCCAAGCACUCUAGCGCUUGGUGAAUGGUCCAGCUACAUUAUCAACCCCAGAUACUGAGGAACUAAAUAGCUCUUACUUUUUAUAAUGUUGUGUGCCUGAGUCAGAGGGAAAGCUGAGGGUAUUUAGGAUACCGGAAUAUUCCUUUUUGGGUCAGUUGUUACUUUUAAUACAGUUGUUACUGUAUCCAGAUAGACUUUGGAGGUAAAAAAAGACUUAACUAUAGAUCAUGUAAAAUAUACUGUAAAUAUAUUAUAAGUGGAGUCUUUUGAGUUUAUUUUCUUAAGAUAGUAGACAUGGUAACAAAACUGGUAGCAAGGCCAAGAAACGUACAUUUAGCAUGCCAGGUUUUCUUAAUUCACCCCAUGAAUGAUAUCUUGGUUCAGUAAAGCAACAUGUUUAAGAAACUCCAAAACAGAUUGGCUUUAUAAUCUCUCCAUCUAGGUAAUAGGAGCACGGGCAUGUCUUCUUCAUCAUCACCUUCCUCAGUGUCCAGUAUAGUGCCUUCUACAUGGUAGACUGCCACAGAUAUUCAUAGAAGGCUUAAUGAAUUAUUCAUUGCCUAUAUUGACCAAAGGGACUCACUGAUAAAUUUUUAACAUAAUUUUUUGCUGCCUAAAUGCAGGCUUGGUCAGUCUGCAACCACUUAUAAAAUUUCCCCCCAUUUUAACAUACUUAAAAUUUGCAUUAUGUCCCAAGUCUAUGCAGUCUCUGAGACAGAGUGUGAUGUGCCAGGUUCAUGCUUAUUUUACACCCAAACAGAACCCUCAGGAGAAUAAGGUAAUGGAUUUAAGCCAUACAUUUCAAUAUGAUGAUAAUUAAAAACAGACUGAUAAAUAUUUUUAACCAUUUUCCCUAGAGCUUUAUCCUCACCCACCCUUCCCCAAGGCCUCAUAGCAGCUUCAGUAAGAUAUUUACUAAUUGAGAUGCCCCUUAUACACAGUAUGAAAUUUGCAAAAAUGUAAUAAAAUCCAUAGCACUCCUGUAUAAUACA